GUGCCUACGGGGCGCAGCAGUUAGGAAUAUUCGUCAAUGGGGGAAACCCUGAACGAGCAAUGCCGCGUGAACGAUGACGGUCCUCUGGAUUGUAAAGUUCUGUUGUUUGGGAAGAACGGCUCUAAUAGGAAAUGAUUAGAGAUUGACUGUACCAUUCAAGAAAGCCACGGCUAACUACGUGCCAGCAGCCGCGGUAAUACGUAGGUGGCGAGCGUUAUCCGGAUUUAUUGGGUGUAAAGGGCGUGUAGGCGGGAACGCAAGUCAGAUGGUAAAGCUCAUGGCUCAACCCU
rnacentral:rRNA from 1 species